AUACGGAGGGUGCAAGCGUUGUUCGGAAUUAUUGGGCGUAAAGAGCAUGUAGGCGGACUGUUAAGUCUGGUGUGAAAGCCCGGGGCUCAACCCCGGAAGUGCAUUGGAUACUGGCAGUCUUGAGUAUGGGAGAGGAAAGCGGAAUUCCGAGUGUAGGAGUGAAAUCCGUAGAUAUUCGGAGGAACACCAGUGGCGAAGGCGGCUUUCUGGACCAAUACUGACGCUGAGAUGCGAAAGCGUGGGGAGCGAACAGGAUUAGAUACCCUAGUAGUCC
rnacentral:rRNA from 1 species